UCUGGGAAACUGCCUGAUGGAGGGGGAUAACUACUGGAAACGGUAGCUAAUACCGCAUAACGUCGCAAGACCAAAGUGGGGGACCUUCGGGCCUCAUGCCAUCAGAUGUGCCCAGAUGGGAUUAGCUAGUAGGUGGGGUAACGGCUCACCUAGGCGACGAUCCCUAGCUGGUCUGAGAGGAUGACCAGCCACACUGGAACUGAGACACGGUCCAGACUCCUACGGGAGGCAGCAGUGGGGAAUAUUGCACAAUGGGCGCAAGCCUGAUGCAGCCAUGCCGCGUGUGUGAAGAAGGCCUUCGGGUUGUAAAGCACUUUCAGCGGGGAGGAAGGCGUUGAGGUUAAUAACCUUGUCGAUUGACGUUACCCGCAGAAGAAGCACCGGCUAACUCCGUGCCAGCAGCCGCGGUAAUACGGAGGGUGCAAGCGUUAAUCGGAAUUACUGGGCGUAAAGCGCACGCA
rnacentral:rRNA from 1 species